AUAACAUUUCAAACAGCUUCUUAAUCAAAGGGUUUCCUGUCUUCUCUUGUAAUCUUUUCUGAAAGUCGCCUUUGUUACCUGCUUUGCCAUUCAUUUGACAAAAAAUUCUUUCCAACUAAACUAAUGGGGAUGAUUAUAUCAUGAGUAGCUGUCUUUAUAGCUUUGUGAGGCAGGUAGCAAACCAGCUGUUCUCCAGGAAUUUGGACCAGAGCAGUCUUGGCCGCAGAUGCAGCCAGCAUUAAUUGGCACUAUUCUCCGAAUCAAAGGUAAAAUGAGUAGUCUGUUGGAAGGUCUUUCUGAUGUAUGCUUCUGAAAUGAACAGUGCCAUUUACUACCUUUGUUUUUUAACUUAAACCACUAGGUAGGACAUUUUUUUUAUAGAGUGCUUUCACUCAAAAUGGAAAGUGGCUAAAAGUUCUCUGCUCAGUUAUGCACAGAAAUCACUGAUGUUCAUUUGUAAAAGAGUGAGGAAAUGAUAAUAUCAAAUUUAUAGUAUGUUAAUUUGUAUGGCAUCUUUUUUAUAUACAGUGUCCUCAAAUGUUUGAUAGAAUUACACAACGAAUACUAACUUAGGGAGAGAGGAAUUCAUAUAACUCUCCAUAUACUCUGUAUGCAGGAAAGGAAUUGGCAGCAUACUGCAUGCCCUUGAAUGUCAUGAGAGGAGACUUGGGAAGCUGUUUGAGAAGGGAGUUGUAAUGAAAACUUUAGCUAAAUUCAUUCUGUGGGUGAAAUUUGGAAGCCAAACCCUUCUUCAAUAAGUGUAUUUAACUCUUCCCCACCAGUAUUUGUUACAUCUAUAUGACCACUUGGGCUUUCAUUGAAGUGAACAGAUGGGACUAUGAUUUCAGCUCCUGACUUGACUCUGGGGAGACCCAGGCCACCACUGUAAACCUAUUUCCAUUGCAUUGUGUUCUUCAGGUGCAUUUCCCUCCUUCACAUGCACUGCCCUCCACUUCCGUUGUGGGGAUAUUUAAAAAGCAAAUAAAGUAUUGAACUCUUUUUAAUAAAUCUCAUUAACUCAUUUGAAACUGCACAGAGAAAAAUGGAAAGUCACUGCUAUUUCCAUUUCCAGGGUGUAUUUUUCCUGUUGUGUUUUGGCCCGUGGAGAGGCUGUGCCCCAUAUAAAAAGGGGAUAGAGGUGCAUACAUAGCCUGUUGAAUGAUGUCAUAAGAGUGAUGCAUCACAGCAACAACAUCGGGAUGAGAACUCAGAAAAUAAAUCAGUCUGCACCUUGGCAUGCACAGCAGCUAUUCCCUCUCUCCAUUAAAUCUUUCUUAUUAGAGCUAAACUUUGGAGACAUCACUGGGGAUAGUCUGCAAGCUAUUACUGCAGUGGACCACGUCGAUCAUCUGACCCUCAUAACUAUGCAUCUGGGAGCAUUCUCAAGAACAUUGUGGUAGCAGUUCUGCAUCCUACUUGGCUUGCCACUGCAUCCUUGCUGAGCACUUGGUUUGGGGAACAGCUGAUAAACUCCAUGUUCAAAUGGCAGAUUCCUGAAAAGACUUCACAGUACAGAUGCAAUUAAUGCCUGGCUUUGUAAACUCUGGGACCUUUCUGUUGUCAUGGUGCUAGAAACCAUUCAAGUGAAGCUCAGAUUGCCAAGACCUAUAAUCUAAAAGAUAUAUUUUUGUUUGGUAUGAUAAUGGAUCUAGGCCCACACUGUGCCUAGCCUAGACUCCUACGAGUUCCCACCCGGUCCUCUUCUAAAACACACCAGAGCUGCUGCUGAUUUACUGGCCAGAAUCAUGCUCCCACCCAUGCCUUGAAACAGUACUACUGAGCCCAUGACUUAUUACUAGAUGGCUUCCUUAAUGGCACUGGUGUAUGCCUGUGAUGUGAUGUGAAAAAGCAUUACCAUAAGAUUGCUCAGAAAACUUUCUGACUUGUAAUAAUGCCUAUUACCAUCUAAAAUGCAUCCUAAGUGUAAUGUAUAACAAGGCCCUCAGUAUUGGGCUUAAACUUGCUGAAAUCAUCUUCACUCUGUAAAAUCAUUGGGCGGUACUAGGAGAUUUGCCUGGCUGGAGAAAUUGAAAAAGAAGAUUCUGUGUGCCUAAAGUAUAUUAGGGCCGUACAUCAGGGCCUCAACAAUGAUUUCAGAAAUGGUUUUCCUUCUCACCUGUCUGAUUCUUUGCAGCUUAGGAAGUUUUUCAUUUGCUUUGUAUUCUGGGAAGGGCUAGGCUGAUGCAAAUGCUGAAUCACUAGAAUGUUACUAUAUAAAUGUUAAUUCAAAAUGUUAAGUUGCUGUCUCUUACUUGUACAUAAUCUUGCAUUCUGCAUUACAGUAACAUCAGUAACCUCUGUUAGGAUCAUUGUCUGGUUGUGCCAGGUGCUGAAGGGCAUGCAGCAGGACAGUCGCUGCCUGAAAGAGUUUACAGUCUGCAGGACUGCAAGAUGUAACAGGUGGUUGCAACACCCAGUGGAGGGGUUGAGGGAAAGGAAGAUGAGGGUGGCUAUAAUAGAAACAUGAGACUAAGUAGACUAGUCACAGGCAUUACUUCCAGAUCCUCAUUUUUUUUUUUUUAAUGAUUUCUAAAUGACACCCAGGGAAUGAAUCUCCAGUACCUUGCUCGUUUUGCUGGCAAUUCAACUGUUGUGCAGUACAGUCCUGUAACGAUUACAUUAUUAGGAAUUUAGGAGGCUAGUGGGCUUUUUUUGUUCGUGUUUUUUAUUUUUUAUUAUUUUUACAGUUUUGUGUAGCAGAACUUUUUUUUUUAAUGCAAAGGCUAUUUACAGUGCCAGUAGGAUUAGCUGUGAGCAUAGUCCAACAAACAUUUUGGAUUUCCUUUACAUUGCUGUGGCCAAUCCUGCAGUGAUUAUGCAUGUGAAACUCGUACUGACUCCAGGAGCAGUGCUGUAGGGUCAAACUGUAUUAUUAACUCAACAUCUCUGUUUUGCAAAGGGAGCAAAUGGAAAAGGCAUAACUAGUAUUGUUUGUUUAUUUUAGUUUCCUUUAAGCACACACACAUUUAGAUCAGACUUGUGUAUAAGCACACAUCAUCAUCUUGGCUUUCCCUGGUGUUUCCUGAGACCUGUAAAUAGUGCAGCUUCAGUUUGGGAUCUGCCACCACAGCAAAAGUACGAAAGCUUAUUAGAUGCCAAGCCUAAUGCUGAGGUUUAAUUAUCCAUUAUUGGCAUGUGCAAGUUUGGUUUGCAUUUUAAUUGCCGCACAAACAGGGGCCCCAUGUUAGUGGAUUUGUUAUAAACAGCAUUAACAUUGGAAAAAUGGAAUUGUAAAAUAUUACACAAAAAAUGCGGCUUCAAUUAGUGAGGAGUUUGUGUUCAGGGGCCUAAUCGGUAAAGCUUCCCUAGUGCUGUGGGGCACUGGGGUUUGCAUAUUUGACAGCACUUAUUUGGACUGCAUAUAUUUUCCUGGUUUUGGCAGAUUGGAUGCUAAUAAUGUCAGUAUCUCAACAAGAUCCUCUCAGAAAUAAAACAUGUUUUAUAAAUA